rnacentral:rRNA from 1 species
UACGUAGGGGGGCAAGCGUUUGUCCGGAAUUAUUGGGCGUAAAGCGCGCGCAGGCGGCUAUUUAAGUCUGGUGUUUAAACCUUGGGCUCAACCUGGGGUCGCACUGGAAACUGGGUGGCUUGAGUACAGAAGAGGAAAGUGGAAUUCCACGUGUAGCGGUGAAAUGCGUAGAGAUGUGGAGGAACACCAGUGGCGAAGGCGACUUUCUGGGCUGUAACUGACGCUGAGGCGCGAAAGCGUGGGGAGCAAACAGGG